UACGGAGGAUGCAAGCGUUAUCCGGAAUUAUUGGGCGUAAAGCGUCCGCAGGUGGCAAUUCAAGUCUGCUGUCAAAGGUUCUGGCUCAACCAGAAACAGGCAGUGGAAACUGAAUAGCUAGAGUGCGGUAGGGGCAGAGGGAAUUCCCAGUGUAGCGGUGAAAUGCGUAGAGAUUGGGAAGAACACCGGUGGCGAAAGCGCUCUGCUAGGCCGUAACUGACACUCAUGGACGAAAGCUAGGGGAGCGAAUGGG
rnacentral:rRNA from 2 species